UGCAGUCGAACGAGACCUUCGGGUCUAGUGGCGCACGGGUGCGUAACGCGUGGGAAUCUGCCCCUGGGUUCGGAAUAACAGUUAGAAAUGACUGCUAAUACCGGAUGAUGUCGAUAAGACCAAAGAUUUAUCGCCCAGGGAUGAGCCCGCGUAGGAUUAGGUAGUUGGUGGGGUAAAGGCUCACCAAGCCGACNAUCCUUAGCUGGUCUGAGAGGAUGAUCAGCCACACUGGGACUGANACACGGNCCAGACUCCUACGGGAGGCNGCAGUGGGG
rnacentral:rRNA from 1 species